AUUGAACGCUGGCGGCAGGCCUAACACAUGCAAGUCGAGCGGAUGACGGGAGCUUGCUCCUUGAUUCAGCGGCGGACGGGUGAGUAAUGCCUAGGAAUCUGCCUGGUAGUGGGGGACAACGUUUCGAAAGGAACGCUAAUACCGCAUACGUCCUACGGGAGAAAGCAGGUGACCUUCGGGCCUUGCGCUAUCAGAUGAGCCUAGGUCGGAUUAGCUAGUUGGUGGGGUAAUGGCUCACCAAGGCGACGAUCCGUAACUGGUCUGAGAGGAUGAUCAGUCACACUGGAACUGAGACACGGUCCAGACUCCUACGGGAGGCAGCAGUGGGGAAUAUUGGACAAUGGGCGAAAGCCUUAUCCAGCCAUGCCGCGUGUGUGAAGAAGGUCUUCGGAUUGUAAAGCACUUUAAGUUGGGAGGAAGGGCAGUAAGUUAAUACCUUGCUGUUUUGACGUUACCGACAGAAUAAGCACCGGCUAACUCUGUGCCAGCCGCCGCAGUAACAC
rnacentral:rRNA from 1 species